CCUCGUACGUAUAAUGCACGCCAUCUGACGAGUAGUUUAAACAUUAUUAAGACUGUCUGUAAUCCCCGAGACAGUGAAGUGAUCCAUCCUGAUGACGUUCAGACUAAUGUAUUGAUACCAGUCUCAGAUGCCCCUGUUCAGAUAGACGAGGUCCAAGUACAAAGUAGCAACUUGAAGCCUGGUUGCUACCCAUCAUGUUGGCGUCUUGAUCGGAUGUUUGUAAUUUGUAAGAAGGGAAAGAGGACGGUUCCAAGGAACUAUAGAGGAAUCACCAUGAUCAACUAUAUAAAAUAGUUUGACUCGGUCCUGACUGCACGGGAGGACGGGCGGGCAGCGAGAGGGAAAAGGCUGCAGCAAAAUAUUGACUGUGGUUAAUGAUGGAUGUGGCAAAGAGGAAGAACGAAAGAACGAAACCUUAGGGAAGAUGAUACAAGUACAGUGUGCAUUCAACAAUUUAAGGAACUUGAGGAUAAUCAAAAUGCUACAAAGAUGUCAAUAAAUCAACAACAGGAAGUGUAGCUAAAGCAACUGAUGAAAGUAAUAAGAGCUAAACAAAAACCUCUUCAUAGGGAAAUGAGUGGAUUAAUAAAACUAUGUGAGGAAAGACUUGUUGGGAAUAAUUGUGAUAAUCAGUUGCCAGAGACAAUACAGGAUCACUGAAGAAAUAUACAACUUAUUGUACUAUAUUAUUUAUAUAUAUAUAUAUAUAUAUAUAUAUAUAUAUAUAUAUAUAUAUAUAUAUAUAU